rnacentral:rRNA from 1 species
UACGUAGGGUGCGAGCGUUGUCCGUAAUUAUUGGGCGUAAAGAGCUCGUAGGCGGCUUGUUGCGUCGACCGUGAAAACCCGGGGCUCAACUUCGGGCUUGCGGUCGAUACGGGCGGGCUAGAGUUCGGUAGGGGAGACUGGAAUUCCUGGUGUAGCGGUGAAAUGCGCAGAUAUCAGGAGGAACACCGGUGGCGAAGGCGGGUCUCUGGGCCGAAACUGACGCUGAGGAGCGAAAGCGUGGGGAGCGAACAGG